AUUGAACGCUGGCGGCAUGCCUUACACAUGCAAGUCGAACGGUAACGCGGGGCAACCUGGCGACGAGUGGCGAACGGGUGAGUAAUGCAUCGGAACGUGCCCAGUAGUGGGGGAUAACGAGGCGAAAGCUUUGCUAAUACCGCAUACGAUCUCAGGAUGAAAGCAGGGGACCGCAAGGCCUUGCGCUCACGGAGCGGCCGAUGGCAGAUUAGGUAGUUGGUGGGGUAAAGGCUCACCAAGCCAACGAUCUGUAGCUGGUCUGAGAGGACGACCAGCCACACUGGGACUGAGACACGGCCCAGACUCCUACGGGAGGCAGCAGUGGGGAAUUUUGGACAAUGGGCGCAAGCCUGAUCCAGCAAUGCCGCGUGCAGGAAGAAGGCCUUCGGGUUGUAAACUGCUUUUGUACGGAACGAAAAGGUCUGGGUUAAUACCCUGGGCUGAUGACGGUACCGUAAGAAUAAGCACCGGCUAACUACGUGCCAGCAGCCGCCGUAAAAC
rnacentral:rRNA from 1 species